UGGAUUCUAGCGGUUGUGUGGGAUCAGUGUAUUGAGGAAUUUCAGGCCUCAGCCAUGUUUGAGAAUGAAGUCACCGACAUCGCCGCCUUUACCUAGGGCUUUGAGGACUACAAGAUCCGGUUGUGGAAGAUGAUGCCUCAACUAGAUCUUCACUAUCUUCAGCCAGAGAACAGCACGAGGAGUUGUUUACUCCCUCUUCUGAUGAGAAAUAAAUCCUCAUCCUCAUGCUUGCCUUUCCC
rnacentral:lncRNA from 1 species